rnacentral:rRNA from 1 species
UACGUAGGGGGCUAGCGUUGUCCAGAUUUAUUGGGCGUAAAGAGCGUGUAGGCGGCCAGGUAGGUCUGGUGUGAAAACUCGAGGCUUAACCUCGAGAUGUCAUCAGAAACCAUCUGGCUAGAGUCCGGAAGAGGAAAGUGGAAUUCCUGGUGUAGCGGUGAAAUGCGCAGAUAUCAGGAAGAACACCAAUGGCGAAAGCAGCUUUCUGGGACGGUACUGACGCUGAGACGCGAAAGCGUGGGGAGCGAACAGG